rnacentral:rRNA from 1 species
UACGGGGGGUGCAAGCGUUGUUCGGAAUUAUUGGGCGUAAAGAGCGUGUAGGCGGCUGAAUAAGUCAGAUGUGAAAUCCCUGGGCUUAACCCAGGAAGUGCAUUUGAAACUAUUCAGCUUGAGUAGGGGAGAGGAAAGUGGAAUUCCUGGUGUAGAGGUGAAAUUCGUAGAUAUCAGGAGGAACACCGGUGGCGAAGGCGACUUUCUGGCCCUAUACUGACGCUGAGACGCGAGAGCGUGGGUAGCAAACAGGAUUAGAAACCCCAGUAGUCC